UACGUAGGGUGCGAGCGUUAAUCGGAAUUACUGGGCGUAAAGCGUGCGCAGGCGGUGAUGUAAGACAGUUGUGAAAUCCCCGGGCUCAACCUGGGAAUUGCAUCUGUGACUGCAUCGCUAGAGUACGGUAGAGGGGGAUGGAAUUCCGCGUGUAGCAGUGAAAUGCGUAGAUAUGCGGAGGAACACCGAUGGCGAAGGCAAUCCCCUGGGCCUGCACUGACGCUCAUGCACGAAAGCGUGGGGAGCAAACAGG
rnacentral:rRNA from 1 species